rnacentral:rRNA from 1 species
UACGUAGGGGCGAGCGUUGUCCGGAGUUACUGGGCGUAAAGGGCACGCAGGCGGUGCGGCGCGUUUCGCGUGACAGCGGAGGGCUUAACUCUCCGAGGAUGCGAAAGACGGCGGCACUUGAGGGCCAGAGAGGGACACGGAAUUCCGGGUGGAGUGGUGAAAUGCGUAGAGAUCCGGAGGAACACCGAAGGCGAAGGCGAGUGUCCUGGCUGGUGACUGACGCUGAGGUGCGAAAGCUAGGGGAGCGAACGGG